UGGAGUUCAGUCAACGUUUGAGCCUACGCACCCACUGCCAGGACAAAACAAACACCUGCCAGGUCUCCCUUGAGAGUCUCUGUGGUGCUAACCGGGCUGUCUUUUGGCAAAAGUGAACACCAUGCUGCUGGGUGCAGUGGCUCCAGCCCCUUGAGGGAAGGGGUCUGGGUGGGCUGAGGCCAGAACCCCCGCACCAGACGAG